AUUGAACGCUGGCGGCAGGCCUAACACAUGCAAGUCGAACGAGUGGCGGACGGGUGAGUAAUGUCUGGGAAACUGCCCGAUGGAGGGGGCUAACUACUGGAAACAGUAGCUACUACCGCAUACCAUCGGAUGUGCCCAGAGGGGAUUAGCUCGUAGGUGGGGUAACGGCGCACCUAGACGACGAUCCCUAGCUGGUCUGAGAGGAUGACCAGCCACACUGGAAAUGAGACACGGGCCAGAAUCCGACGGGAGGCAGCAGUGGGGAAUAUUGAACAAUGGGCGCAAGCCUGAUGCAGCCAGGCCGCGUGUAUGAAGAAGGACUUCGGGUUGUAAAGUACUUUCAGCGAGGAGGCGUUACUCGCAGAAGAAGCACCGGCUAACUCCGUGCCAGCAGCCGCGGUAAUUC
rnacentral:rRNA from 1 species